UAAGCGGAGGAAAAGAAACCAACAGGGAUUGCCCUAGUAACGGCGAGUGAAGCGGCAACAGCUCAAAUUUGAAAGCUGGCCUUCGGGUCCGCAUUGUAAUUUGUAGAGGAUGCUUUGGGUAAAACGCCAGUCUAAGUUCCUUGGAACAGGACGUCAUAGAGGGUGAGAAUCCCGUAUGUGACUGGAAAUGUUAACCUAUGUAAAGCUCCUUCGACGAGUCGAGUUGUUUGGGAAUGCAGCUCUAAAUGGGAGGUAAAUUUCUUCUAAAGCUAAAUAUUGGCGAGAGACCGAUAGCGCACAAGUAGAGUGAUCGAAAGAUGAAAAGCACUUUGGAAAGAGAGUUAAAAAGCACGUGAAAUUGUUGAAAGGGAAGCGCUUGCAAUCAGACUUGUUUAAACUGUUCGGCCGGUCUUCUGACCGGUUUACUCAGUUUGGACAGGCCAGCAUCAGUUUCGGCGGCCGGAUAAAGGCUCUGGGAAUGUGGCCUCCACUUCGGUGGAGGUGUUAUAGCCCAGUGUGUAAUACGGCCAGCCGGGACUGAGGUCCGCGCUCGGCUAGGA
rnacentral:rRNA from 1 species